UUCUCAUUUAGUCAAGUCGGAAAGAGUGUCCAAGUCCUUGGAUCUUGGGGGUCUAAGCAUUGGCAACCUGCGAGCGCGAGGGAGACCUUUUUGGCUAAGUGGUUGUGGCGCUUUCUUCGAGAGUGAGAGUCUAACACAUCAUGGCAUAAGGUUAUUGUGAGCAAGUAUGGUCCUUAUCCAUUUGAGUAAAUCUCGAAGGGGGUUUGAAAAACACUUCUAAAAAUUUGUGGCAAGCUAUUUCUGAUGGGCUUCCUUGUUUCUCUUAGUUUGUUCAGUGUUAUGUAGGUGAUCGGUUGGACACUUAUUUUCGGGUGGAUAGGUAGUUGGAAGAUAGAUCCCUCUGUUACUUGUUUUCGUGUUUGUACCAUCUAUCAUCGACGAGGAAUCAUUCGGUGGCUUUUGUCUUACCUUCUUUCAAGAUCUCCUCCUCUCCAUUAUUUGCUUCUGUCAUCCUUGAUCUGAUAACGAUCAGAUGAAUAUCGUGGCUCCUAUCGUCUCAGCUUGGGGAGUUUUCUAUUAUUGUGGGGAGAGGAUAUUUGUCUACGGGAUCCUAGUACUUUUUAUGGGUUUUUUUGUAGUUUUAUUUUCAAUUGCUCGGUGAAUCUCUAUACCCCAAGUUCCUCUGUUUUCUCCUUGCUGUGAAAUGUUGAAAUUUCCAAGAAAGUAUAAUUUAUUUUCUUGUGUGGUAGGUCCUUCAUGAUAGAGUAAAGGAAGUCGCCCCUACUAAUAAGGCUGCAUUGUUAUAUCUUUAUAGGGUCGCAAUAGAUGAUCUUGAUCAUCUAUCUCCUUCCGAACUGCCCAUUUUGCUUACUCGGUUUGGAAUUAUUAUUUUGAGGCAUUUAGUUUUUUUGCCUGGAUCAGCCAAGAGAUGGUAGUUUGUUGGUGGAGGGCUGCUCCUACUUUCGCCUUUUCGUGAUAAGGGUCGUUUUUCGUGGCUCGGUGAUAUUUGUGUCAUUUUAUGGGGUAUUUGGAUUGAGAGAAACAAUAUAACUUUCAGAGGGUAGAGAGGUCUUGGAGGAGGUUUAGUCCCUGGUUCCACUUCCUAAUUUGGAGAAAUUGAUAAUUAGAAAAGCAGACAAUGUGAGGCUGGUAUGUAAAAGGAAACUCAUUCCACAUACCUUUGGGAAGCUCAAAAGAGUAGAAAUUGUUGACUGCAACAAACUUGAAAAGGUUUUUCCUUUCAAUCAUUCAAUGUGAUGAGCACGCUAACCUGCCUUUAAAAGGUUUUUCCUUUUAAAGAGUUAUGCAAUCACGAUGUGGUAUGUUAGAAGGAAUCUUUGAAAGCCAUGGGAUGGAAAAUGUUACAGAAAUAUUCGAUGCGUUGCUCCCUAAAUUGAGUUCCUUGAGAUUAACUGAUCUGCCAAAUCUAAAGUAUGUUUGGAGGAAGGACCCUUAUGAAAUUCUAAUUUUUGGAAAACAUACAACAGUUGUAUAUUCUCCGGUGUCCAGCGCUUAAAAGAGUAUAUCUAGGUAAUUUUCUUCAACAACUUGAAAGGUUGAAAAUGAAGUGCAAUGAAUCAGUGGAGAUUCAUGGGAAUGAAAUGUCACCAAGGAUGCUGGAAAUGAAUCAGUUUGAAUCCAAGGUAUCUUUUCCUAAUAUGAAGCAUAUGAAAAUUGAAGGCAUAAGAAAUUUGAAGAUAAUUUGCCACAAUGUACUCGUUCAUGGUUCCUUUGCAAAACUUGUGAUAUGAACCAAAGUGUCUUAGUACUCAAGGAUUUAAAGGAAGAUGUUGGAGAAUCUUAUGUCCAAGUUGACAACAAAUCGGAGUUGCAUUAAAUGCACUCUAGUUUCAUUUAUGGCCA